GACGAACGCUGGCGGCGUGCUUAACACAUGCAAGUCGAACGGAAAGGCCCUGCUUUUGCGGGGUGCUCGAGUGGCGAACGGGUGAGUAACACGUGAGUAACCUGCCCUUGACUUUGGGAUAACUUCAGGAAACUGGGGCUAAUACCGGAUAGGAGCUCCUGCUGCAUGAUGGGGGUUGGAAAGUUUCGGCGGUUGGGGAUGGACUCGCGGCUUAUCAGCUUGUUGGUGGGGUAGUGGCUUACCAAGGCUUUGACGGGUAGCCGGCCUGAGAGGGUGACCGGCCACAUUGGGACUGAGAUACGGCCCAGACUCCUACGGGAGGCAGCAGUGGGGAAUAUUGCACAAUGGGCGGAAGCCUGAUGCAGCAACGCCGCGUGCGGGAUGACGGCCUUCGGGUUGUAAACCGCUUUCGCCUGUGACGAAGCGUGAGUGACGGUAAUGGGUAAAGAAGCACCGGCUAACUACGUG
rnacentral:rRNA from 1 species